rnacentral:rRNA from 1 species
ACGUAGGGUGCAAGCGUUGUCCGGAAUUAUUGGGCGUAAAGAGCUCGUAGGCGGUUUGUCGCGUCUGCUGUGAAAUCCCGAGGCUUAACCUCGGGCUUGCAGUGGGUACGGGCAGACUAGAGUGCGGUAGGGGAGAUUGGAAUUCCUGGUGUAGCGGUGGAAUGCGCAGAUAUCAGGAGGAACACCAAUGGCGAAGGCAGAUCUCUGGGCCGUAACUGACGCUGAGGAGCGAAAGCAUGGGGAGCGAACAGGAUUAGAUACCCUGGUAGUCCAUGCCGUAAACGUUGGGCGCUAGAUGUCGGGACCUUUCCACGGUUUCUGUGUCGUAGCUAACGCAUUAAGCGCCCCGCCUGGGGAGUACGGCCGCAAGGCUA